rnacentral:misc_RNA from 1 species
GGGGAUUUGGGGAUUCUUGAGGCGGCGGAGAAGAUUUGGGUUUGAUCGGAAAUGAUGAGGAGAAGGAAGAGAAGGAAUAUGGGGAGUGUUUGGAAGGAAGGAAAAUGGGAAUUCUCCAUUGUUCUUGGUUUGGAUCUGGAUAUGAAGAUCUGGAGAAGAAUGGGAAGCAAAUUUAUGGGGGGAAUUUGGUAAUAAAAGAUCGUGGGCUCCCAC